rnacentral:lncRNA from 1 species
AUGAGCUAUCAAGCAAGCAAAGGCAUCAGAAAAGAACUCAGACAGAAACAUUUCUGUGGUGAUAGCAGAGCUUGGAAGUUCUUAAGAGUUCAGCGUGUAUUCAUUCUUUCAGACUCUGAAAGAUGGACGCCACGUGUCAGAGCACAGCAAGGGAAGGCUGAGGAAUUAUUUCAAGGUAAAAUAGUCCCAGCACUGAUGCAGCUCCUCAUUUACUCAGCAUCUUCUUUUUCCACCUUCUGCUUUCUCUGAACGAGAGACAGCUAAGUAGAGAACAACAGACUCGGGCCCUUUCUGCCUGCUAAAGAGCGACUCAAUCUCACCUCCUGUGAAAAUGAAACUCUUCUGUUAGAAGAGCCUGGGAAAGUGAGGAUGCAAAUCAAAAUCUGGGCUGAGGAGAACUUAGUAACAAAGGGCGCUUCUGCUUUUGACUUUUUGGACAUGUGCUUUUCUGUUUCUGGCUAUUAAAGAAAAAGCUCUAAACAUUAUUCUUUGACUGGGGAAAUACAGCACAUCGUGUAGCAUAGCACUCAACCUCUCAGGGGAUUGCCUCGUAUCUGGUAUUAUAGCUGGCUGUAAAUAGGCCAUUCUUGGUUCUCCGGGUCAGCUGGUUCCAAAGAGCAGUGCACAAGUUGGGUUGAAGUCCGUUGCUUCACCUUUUUCUGACAUGCGAGAAGCAUUUCAACUGCUUUGACUUGGCUUCCGCUCAGUAUGGCCUACACCACCACGGUUACAGAAGACGCUGUGGCUGCAGAUGUCCAGAUGUGGACCUGCUCUAGCAGACAGCUCAUGGUUCAUAGCAGGCAUCCAGAUUCACUCCUCUGCACCCCCUCACAAGGGUUAGGAGGAAGUUUUAGAUGUGGCUAGGCUGUACUUUAAACCUACGCUUAUCAUUUUGCCUUUUUAUGAGCUAAAAUUUAGAGAAAAUUGAAUAUCAUGCUUAGAUUAAGGGUUGUUAUUGCAAAUAAAUGAAAACCAAACUAAACAAGCCAAAGCAAACAGCAGCAAAAAACACUUAAAAUUCCAUAAAAAGAAAUCCAUAUUAUUAAAAAAUGGACCACAGGUCUACAUGACUUCUCACCAAAGAUAUAUUAAAAAUACUCAGAUAUCCCAUAUGCCUGUUUGUAUGAAAAGAUGCUCUACAUCUUUGUCAUUGAGGAAAUGCAAAUUUAAACAAUGAAACUACACACACUUAUUUAUUAGAAUAACCAUUCUAAUAAAAAACCCACAAUUCCGACAUCAACUGCUGUCAAGAAAUUGGAGCCACAGAAAUUCUAAUUCAGUGCUGGUAGAGAAACAUAAUGGCACUGCUCCUUUGGAAGAGAGAGCGGCCAUUUCUUGUGAACCUAAAUAUAUGCUUACCAUAUAAUUCAGAAAUCACAUCUUUUAGUAUUUAAAUUGAAUUUGGGACUCAAAACUUUCCCAUAACAUGACUUCCAGGCCCACAUGGCUUCCCUUCUGAAUUAACACUAAUCUUUUCCAAAUACAACAGAAUAAAGCAAAAUAAAGCAGAAAAGAAUGGAACAAUUCUCAACUCAUUUUAUGGGAUCAGAUAAUGAUCUUACAACACAGAAAUAUUAAAUGCCCAC